UCGAGUUUUUGAACGCAAGUUGCGCCCGAGGCCAGCCGGCCAAGGGCACGUCCGCCUGGGCGUCAAGCGUUGCGUCGCUCCGUGCCAGCUCCAUCACACCUGUGUGUGUGUCAGCCAAGGCCCGGACGUGCAGAGUGGCUCAUCGUGCCAAUCGGUGCGG
rnacentral:rRNA from 1 species